rnacentral:rRNA from 1 species
UUCCAGACUCCUACGGGAGGCAGCAGUGGGGAAUAUUGCACAAUGGGGGAAACCCUGAUGCAGCGACGCCGCGUGAGUGAAGAAGUAUUUCGGUAUGUAAAGCUCUAUCAGCAGGGAAGAUAAUGACGGUACCUGACUAAGAAGCCCCGGCUAACUACGUGCCAGCAGCCGCGGUAAUACGUAGGGGGCAAGCGUUAUCCGGAUUUACUGGGUGUAAAGGGUGCGUAGGUGGCAUGGCAAGUCAGAAGUGAAAGCCCGGGGCUCAACCCCGCGGACUGCUUUUGAAACUGUCAGGCUGGAGUACAGGAGAGGUAAGCGGAAUUCCUAGUGUAGCGGUGAAAUGCGUAGAUAUUAGGAGGAACACCAGUGGCGAAGGCGGCUUACUGGACUGUAACUGACACUGAGGCACGAAAGCGUGGGGAGCAAAUAGGAUUAGAUACCCUUGUA